rnacentral:lncRNA from 1 species
AUGAAAGCUCUUCAAAUCCUCCAAAGAAUUCUGUUUGACCCAGUGAUACUCCAAAAUUGGAAUUUAAACCACACCCCAUGUGGCUUCAUGGGUAGAAAGGUAGUGAAGAGGAUGUUGCUGGAAAAUGCGGGUGGAAGUGGAGAGAGGGCUACGUCUCCAUGUCAUCCUUUUGGUUGCAGUAGGGAGAAGGGGAAUUUUUUUCUUUGGUCUCACUAAGGAUCUGAAGUGAAGCCCAGGGAUCAUUAUUACUUUUAAAAUACUUAUUUCUUUGGCUGCACCUGGUCUUAGUUGUGGUAUGUUGGUUCUUUGAUCUUCCUUGCAGCAUGUGGGAUAUAGUUCUCUGAUCAGGGGUCAAACCUGGGCCCCCUUGGGAGCGUUGAGUCAUAGCCACUGAACCACCCAGGAGGUCCCUCCCCAGUGAUGAUGAUGAUGAUGAUGAUUUUAAUUUUUAUGGAGGUUUAGCUGAUUUACAAUGUUGUGUUAGUUUCAGGUGUACAACAAAGUGAAUCUCUUACACAUAUAUCCACUCAGUGGGCAACAAGGUCAUUAUGUUUUGUGCUUGAGAAACCAACAUCUGUUGAGUAGAACAAGACAUAAUUCUGAAGCUGCCAAAUUGAGGGCAUCUCCCACCAUCCUGGGGCCCACCCCAGAAGCUCCAGUGAGACUUCUCCUGAUUCCCAAUGGUAAGGCUAUUUCCUUUUAUAAGGGCUUUAUUUUUAUCUCAGGAGCCACUAGUUUGACUGUUCUUGUGAUCCACGGAGCUGUCUGGAUUCUCUGAAUUAGGCUGUAAGUGGGGAAGGCCAAAUACCGCAUACUGCAUACCGCAAAGAAAGAUUCACUGACCUACUGCCAGACUCAUGAAGAGAUGAGGAAUUCCUGGCUGGGCAUUUCACAUACCCUACCAAAUAAGAUGCUACACCCAGAGUGUCUGAUUUGGCCUUUUAUCUGGUCUUGUCCUCAGAAUUUGAGUUAUCUUAAGUGGAAAUAUUCUAGGUAGUCAGACACCUGUUUAUAAUGCUUCCUUUGGAAGAAAAGUUAUGACCAAUCUAGACAGCAUAUUGAAAAACAGAGAC